CAUGGUUGCCCCAUGCGUGAUGCACCGGCACCGACAGCUGCCCCAGCGCUGCCAGCACCUGCUCCAAGGCACCUUCAGCCUCGCCGCUGCGGGCAUUGAGGCCAUCGAUGCUGUCACCCAGCUGCAGCACGAAGCUGGUGUCGUGGCGGUCGCUGGCGGCCACCUUCGUGCUGUGCGGGGGGCUGCUGGCCGCCAUGAAGAAGGUGAAGAGGCGGAAGGAGGAGGAGCUGGAGAAGGAACGAAACCGAGGCAUUGGGAAACCGCUGCUAGGAGGGCCCUUCUCACUCGUCAGCCAUGAGGGACAGCCCAAGACCAGCAGGGACUACAUCGGCCAGUGGGUGCUGAUCUACUUCGGCUUUACACACUGCCCUGACAUCUGUCCUGAUGAACUGGAGAAAAUGAUUGAAGUGGUAGAUGAAAUUGAUAGAAUUCCAUCUUUGCCUAAUCUGACCCCGCUCUUCAUCACUAUUGAUCCUGAGAGGGACAACGAAGAAGCCAUUGCCAGAUAUGUUAAAGAAUUUUCUCCGAAGCUGAUCGGAUUGACUGGUACCAAGGCACAGAUUGACCAAGUGGCCAAAGCUUACCGUGUGUAUUACAGCGAAGGUCCCAAAGACGAAGACGAUGAUUACAUAGCUAAACAGCCCCAGCUCUCUCAGCCUUUCCUUAUACCAGAGAUGCUCCAGUUCCCUCAUCAUCCUCACAGCCCUCCGCUGGACUCUCCCCAGUAGUUCCCUGUCUGUCUUGAACUGGGGAGCCCAGCACUGGACACAGAACUCCAGAUGUGGCCUCACCAGGGCAGAGUAGAGGGGGAGGAGAACCUCCUUUGACCUGCUGGUGAUACUGUGGGGAUCUUCCUCCUGUGUCAAAUGACCUGUAAGAGAGAGCAUGUUAAUGCUAAAUUAAGUGGGAAUGAAAUACGUAGAGUAAUAGUGUGAAGGGGGAAAAUGAGGUUUAAGUGAGGCUAAACAGGGUGGUCAAAAUCUUACUCUCUGGAAGUGAAUAGGUCUGGUUAUAGGGCUGAGAGCUGCUGCCAAGGCCUUCCUGACCUGCCACGUCCUGAGCAGACUGGAAGAGUAAAGUAGGAACAAGUGAUACAACAAGUGAGGAUGCACGUUAUGUGAUCUUCAUUUUUUUUUCUUCAUUACAAGAACUAAAGACAUCAGAAAAAACUAAAAACAGGUUCAAAAGGAAAGGUUCUUGGAAUGGGCACGUGAGAACUGGAAUCUCUUGCUACAGAUGCAAAUGGUAGAAGUUUAUGGGAGUCCACAGGGAGACUUGUUGUUAGUCUUUGGAAAAUACAGUCUGUUGAAGAUUAUGAAAUGCACAGAAAUCUUGCCUAGUUCAGGAAGCCUGUGAGCUAGAAGUGUUUGGAAACUGGGAGGUAAUAGAGGAAGAUAGCAUAUUUUUGGUGCUGGUUUUGUAUUCUUCUUUAAAGCAAACACUGUUGGUCACUAUUUGAGGUAGGAUGCUGAGGCAGAUUGGUUUUGGUCUAAUCCAGUAUUGUUUAAUCUGUUUUUUAAAACCACCUGACUGCAGCAAAUAAAUUAUCCACAGGACAAAAAGAUUGGUGGAACAAAAAAGUAGUGCAUAGAAAAAAACAGCAAGAGCAGCACAUGAUCGCAGUAAAGAGGAGGUGGAAUCACGCUGGCGAUGUGCACUGCUCUACAUUGCUAAAAGGGGUGUGCAGUUAGAGAUCAAGAACUUGUUUUCACUUGAAGUGGCAACUCAAUUGCUACAGAAAUCUGUGUCUAAGAUGCUAUAUUUGAAUGAAGGAGAGAAGCUUGCUGGAGAAAUUCAACACCAAUUUAAAUCAAUCUAGCAUCAAUCUGAAAUCAAUCUAAAAAUACUGCUUAAAAUCAGAUUUAUAAAAGGAGGCUGGUGGAAAUGCAAAAAUAGGUUAUAGGAACAGGAUUGGCAAAGGAUGCAUGCUCAGGAGAGGGAAAAACUCAGUAGAAUCUGACACUAAAUGAGUGAACUGAAGUUGAGAAGAGAUCGUGGAAGGAGGCCAGAAGAGCUGAAGGAGUGCUGCUGCUUAUGAAGUAAACCACAUGUAGAUUCUAGCAAACCACACCUGGAUUCUGGCCUGGCCAUGAAGGAGAAAGGGGUUCGGCCGAGGAAAAUAACUCUGUGGAUGACAGCAGAUUCAAGGGAGGCUGGAGGGUGAAACCAAACUGGAGGAUGUGGAUCACACAAUAAUAAUGUACCUCCUUGGGCCAGAUGGUGACUUUGUGGACUAUUAUGGCCAGAAUAAGAGGAGCACUGAGAUUGCUGCUUCUAUUGCUGCACACAUGAGAAAGUACAGAUCCUAAAACACGAUGUGAAUGUUACCUGUAGGUUUGGCUGUAAUUGGGCAUUGGAGUUAAAGCAGAAGCAUACAAGUGUAACAUCCUGUCACCACAUGCCUCUCUCCUUCCAAAUAAUGAAGGCAACCAUACUUCUGCAAAAUACCAUUAUCAAAAAUUUCUAUAGAGCCUUUGCCAUGGAUAUUAUUUGCAGCAUGAUCCAGGCUACAGAAUGAAAUUUGGGACUUCUCUGAAACAUUGAUGGGAGCAGAAAAUGGAAAACUUCAUUUGGGAAGAACAUGUGUAUUGUUGGCAAAAUUAAUUGGUAACUCUUGGCAAGACAUCAGUGAAGGACGGUCACUGCAGGAGAUGAGAAGCCAUGUGGGCCAUGGCAUACUCAGACAACCCCUGCCCUCUGUUUUUCUGCACUGUUUUGCCUUCUGGGAGAGGCAGUUAGAAUAUUAUAAGCAGGAGAGCCUUAAGAGUACUUCUUUAUCAAGGUUAAGAAGGUGAAGAGCGCUGCAAGAAUCAGGAGCUUCCUGGCAUGGGACCGGCCCUGUAGUGUGCCUGAUCUCUUCUUCAUUUGAAUACGGAAAUGAAUACUUGGUGAUUUUUCUAGGUGAAUGCUGUUAACUUCUGAAAAAAUGAGUAAUGGUUGCAAAUAGAUUUUGCUUCUGGUCUAAAUGAGUUUAUGCAUAGUCAACUGAUUGUGCUAUGCUGACUAGUGAAGUGGGGAGGAUGGAGGGGGUCUGUGCCCAUGCAGGGGGCUGUCAGAUAAAUUUUAUGCAGUGCAGCAUUUGAAAAUAAAGAUUACUUUGUAUAAGCAA